UGAUGCUGAUGCUGAUGCUGAUGCUGAUGCUGAUGCUGGUGCUGAUGCUGAUGCUGAUGCUGACUUCUCCGGCUUGUUUCUGCUGGGCGUUCAGGGAGGUGUGUCGGUCUCCUCGCCGCAGAGGAGGAUUUCAGUAAAGAGGUCGUGGAUUCAGAUUUAGGAAAAGAGGAGCUCAUUGUUGCGGAUCUGUUCUAUUCUGUCUCGGGCCAGAUGAACCUGCUGUGGGGCCUGGGGGGGAAACUGAGCCAUGGGUCCCCAUUGAGACCCCCAACACAACCAACCAGCAAUUCUACACUGAGAUGACUCCUGCACAAGGCUUGCUGGGCACUGAGGAACCCAUCAGCGACACCUAGAGGUUCUUGGACUCCAACAUAUCUAAUCAUUUCACUGCCUCUCACAUACAUUACAUCUCUAUGCCCAUGCACAUCUUAUUUCAAUUCUACGAGUUAGUGAUGUAAGUGUAUAUUGCUCAAAUGAUAAUCCUUGCGCAUAAACAUGCUACAGUAUCCUAAUACUACACUGAGCAGUAUUGUAACAAUAACUACUUUAGCUUACUUUAAUAAUUCAAGAGAUGUGACAUUAAAAAAAUAAGUCCUGUGCCCAUAAAUCUGCAGCUUAUGAAUAAAAGCAAUGAGGGCUUUCAAAAUACGUUAUCCGUGUUAUUAUUGGCAUCCACCUCACAUUAGCAUGUGCCUCCAUUCACCAAAGCUACAGGCUUCCAGAUGUAGCAACACCUGUGUACCUUUAGAUAAACUCCAAUAUGAUCAGAAGGGGUGGCUUUUCCAAGUGGAGGAUAUUGACUUCUUUUUUAGACUGUGGAUGCAGAUGUAAGGCCAAAUAUCAACCCCUAUAAAUAUUUUGAACUCAAAUGUAUGAGUAAUGUAGACACGUCUGUUUUGAAUUGAACAUGAUGUUUAUUAUUGCCUCAGCAUUUUAGUACUUCUGGCUUCAUAUCCUCCAGAAGCAUGGCAGGUCUGACAAGAAAUAACCACUGAGGAAACAGAGCAAUCAUUGCAAGCCUACGCCUGCCAUUAUAGAAUAGGCAUCUAGCUUUUUUGUCCCCUUGCUUUAUAUCACAGAGUGAAUUAUCAAUACCGAAGUGGCAGUUCUACAGACGACUUCAUUCUUCUCUGAACCAUUCAGUUUGUUUCAAUCAGCAUUU